UACGGAGGGUGCGAGCGUUGUCCGGAAUCACUGGGCGUAAAGGGCGCGUAGGCGGCCGAGCAAGGUCGCGGUGAAAGCCCGGGGCUCAACCCCGGGUCGGCCGUGGCAACUACUCGGCUCGAGCUCUGUAGGGGCGGGUGGAAUUCCAGGUGUAGCGGUGAAAUGCGUAGAUAUCUGGAGGAACACCGGUGGCGAAGGCGGCGUUCUGGACUGUUUCUGACACUGAAAAACGAAAGCCAGGGGAGCAAACGGG
rnacentral:rRNA from 1 species